rnacentral:misc_RNA from 1 species
UUGAUUCGUUUUUGUUUUUUAGCUCAGACGGUUUGUUUGUUUUUGUUUAUAAAGAGUUCAGAGCGCUCGCCGCCGCCGGCGGGCCGCCACGGCAGUCCUCCUGGGAGGUCUGCCAGGCGGGGGCCGCCGGAGGCAACGAGAACAGAGAUUGGGUACGGUUCGCAAGGGUUGGGAGUUGUUUAAGAACUCGCUAAUGAUCCCUCCGCUGGUUCACCAACGGAGA